AUGAGUUCAGAUCUUGACUUUGUUUUAUAUUUCUCUAGUCGGCGUGGCACAAGCCUAAUGGAAGAUGAUGAAGAGCCAAUUGUUGAAGAUGUUAUGAUGUCCUCAGAAGGGAGGAUUGAGGAUCUUAAUGAGGGAAUGGAUUUUGACACCAUGGAUAUAGAUUUGCCACCAUCAAAGAACAGACGAGAGAGAACAGAACUGAAGCCUGAUUUCUUUGAUCCAGCUUCAAUUAUGGAUGAAUCAGUAGGUUUAAUUUAAAUGUACCCCAGGAUUACAAAAUCAAAAGUAUAGGCAGUCUCUCAGUUUGAGGUUGAAAACCUGGGGUAGCAUACUGAGAAUAGAUGAAAACAGUUGGACGUGAGAAAAAGAGGCAGGCAGGCAGGAUUUCAGUGGGAGGGGAGGAGAGUGAUGCAAUAGUGGUGACAGAUUAGAAAAGUACUUUUGAAUCCUGGCUGACUGGGACUUGAAUAUUAAGGAAUUUGGACUGUUCUUCCAGGUUUGUACUGUUCUUCAAUGGGUUGCCCAUUGAAGGAUUUUAAAUAAGGUAAUGUCAUGAUGAGAAUUGUGUUUCAGAAAGAUUUCCUUGACAUUUAUGGAUGGGACAGGAUGAAUGAGGGGCGUAAUAUAAAGGCAUGGUGAAAAAUAAUGAGAACUUGAACAAAGGCUUUGAUAAUGAAGAGAAGGUUAUUGAGCUGUCUAAGAUGAGAGUCAGUUACCACUCCCACCAUCCUUAAUUGGUUAUUAUUGGGCUUUGUCAGUUCUUUUUCUUAAGUACCUCUUAUAUCAGUCCCCUGUGCCAUAUUCUUCUUGACAGUGCCUUGAUUCAGGUCCUCCUCAGUUUUCACAUGGGCUGUUGCAAAGCCUUUAAGCUGAUAUUGCAGUCCCCCUGCUCCUUUAUACCUCUUGUGGGGUCAUCUUUCUAAAAUGCAGAUGUGAUAUUCUCACUUACCAUUCUUUUUUUUUUUGAGACGGAGUCUCGCUCUCUGCCGCCCAGGCUGGAGUGCAGUGGCCAGAUCUCAGCUCACUGCAAGCUCCGCCUCCCGGGUUUAUGCCAUUCUCCUGCCUCAGCCUCCGGAGUAGCUGGGACUACAGGCGCCCGCCACCUCGCCCGGCUAGUUUUUUGUGUUUUUUUUUUUAGUAGAGACGGGGUUUCACCGUGUUAGCCAGGAUCACUUACCAUUCUUUUAUUGAUUUUUUUCCCCCAUUGCCAUUAGGAAGAAAAUUCUAGCUCCUCAGCCUAGCAAACAAAGCCUUUUAUGAUCUGGUUCCCUUGCCACCUUAACCUUGGCUUUUCCUUACAUGUAUUCUAUGCUCUAGCCAUAUCAAAUCUUGUAGUUCCUCUCAGAUACACUAUGCUCUUUCCUGACUCCAUAACUUUGUAUAAGCUUUUUUUCUACCAGAAAUUCCCAUUUAUUUUUCCUCCUAGUAAAGUCUUUAUUUGAUACUAAUUUUGACGUUACCUGUGGAAUUUUUGCUGAUUUCCAGAUUUUUUUUUCUCUUCUUCCUUAACUCCUUGUACACACUUUAUUGUAAUAAUUACCAGACUUGCAUAGUGAGAUAGGAUAUUACAUGCUCUGGUCCUUCACUAGAUUGAACUCCCUGAGGCAGUGAUGAUGUUAUUCAUUUUUAGUUCUGCCCAGCACAGUAGAUAUUUAGUUUUGUCAAAUGAAUAAAUCAUUUAAAUGCCCUGUCAUCUCCCUUUUAGGUAUCUACCCAUUUUAUGUUCCUCGUUCCUCACACCUACUGCCUCAAGUGGUUAUACCAUCUUCUAAGGCCUCCCUUCUAUGUCCAAUUUCUACCAUUCCCUCCUUGCCCUCUCCUACCUCAUAAUCUGCUUUCACAUAGCUUUUAGAACUAUUUUGACAAACUAAUUCACACUAACAUGUUUAUCAAUAAGGCCAAGGGGCCGGGCUCAGUGGCUCAUGCCUAUAAUCCCAGCACUUUGGGAGGCCAAGGUAGGAGGAUUGUUUGAGCCCAAGAGCUUGAGACCAACUUGGGCAACACAGUGAGACCCCAUCUUUACAAAAACUAAAAAAAAUCAGCUGGGCAUGGUAAUGCGUACCUGCGGUCCCAGCUACCCAGGAGCACGAGGUGGGAGGAUCGCUUGAGCCCAGGAGGUUGAGGCUGCAGUGAGUUGUGUUCACAAUACUGCACUCCAGCCUGGGUGACAGAGCCGAGACCCUGUCUCAAAAAAAAAAAAAAAAAAAGGUAGAAUCUGCUUCGAUUGGUCUUAUGUGUGGCCUUAACAUUCUGCAUUGCUAACAUGCUGUCGGUGCUUCAGGUCUGCAAACCAUACUUUGAGUAGCAAGACCAUACUUUGAGUACCUAAGUGACCUAUCCCACUCAUAAGUCUGAAGUUUAUGGUUUUCUUGAUAAUUAAUCUAACAGUAUGUAUCAUCUUAGUUUGUUAAACAUGAAAGUAGUGAUUGUGAUGAGGGGUAAAGGAAUAUUUUCAAGCAGGUGAUGAAAUGCAUUUAUUCAACAAUUUAUUACAUCAGAAGUUGGUGCUGAAGUGAAUAAGACACUCUCCCUGUCCUUAAGGAAUUCAUAUUCUAGUGCACCUUGACUAUCACUUUGAAAUGAAAAGUAUGGAAGGUAGUAGCUGAGAGCUUGGGUGACAGACACUAUGCUAGGUGUGAUUUAUUUUGAUCCUCUCAGCAACCUUGUGAGAAAGGUAAUGGGAAUUUCCACUUUCAUGCCGUAGUAAGCUGAGACUGAAGAAGUGGUUUAGUGACUUUGCUCAGUUAUACAGUUAGCAAGUGUCCAAGUAGUAAUUUGAUGCCAGUUCCUUUUGAUUUAAUAAUCUCCUGCUGUCUCUACUGUUGUGCUUCCCAAAACUAAAAUCCCCAUUUGGAUGAAACACCAACAGAAGUAAUUAAGAAAUUGAAAUGGUUAACUAUGAUCAAAAUUAAUAUGGGCAGUUAGGAUCACCAUUUUUAAAUGUAUUUGUAUAAUGUCAGGAGAACUUUUAACAUUUGUUUUCUUAGUUACAGACUAGAUUUGCAAACAGGUGUUCUUCAGAUUACUAAAAUAAUGAAACAACAAUAUUAACUAUGUGUAUCUAUUUUUGAUAUUUAACAUUUAGAGAAAAGUAGGGUCUUAAUAGUCAUUUUUUAUUUAUAGUGAUUUUAUAGCAUUCUCGUGUACAUUGAAUGUUACAGCUGAGAGGCUUUUAUUUAUUCUUAAUUUGAUAAUAGUUUAGCUGCUUCUGCUACUAAAAUUAGGAAAAUGAGCACUUGUACUUAUAACUGUAGUUUUAUAGCAUUACCACAUGAUGGCAGCAGUCACAUAACUGAAUGCUCAAUAAUCUUUAAAGGCUUAGGUUUCUUUAGAAGUCUUUGACAAUGUAAUUUUUUUUUUAAGUUAAUAGUUUAUUUUAAAAAUAUACACUGCACUAUACUCCAUACUGUCUCAACCAUAACUUAAGAAAUGGAAUAAUGGAAAAUUUUAAAUGUAAAAUUCUGUUUGCCUUUAUACAAUGCCCCACAUCUGUUCUUACUGAAGCCCGUAAUAACGGAGUCAUCAAAACAGUAGCAAAAUUGGGAUUUAAAUUCUUUAAUGUCCAAUUCUAAGAAGUGGUAAUAUAAAAACUCUGAACCUAUCAUUUUGUGUUGCAUAUACAUAAAAUUCUAGAUUUAUGGUGUAGCUAGUUUUAUAUUUGGACACAAAAUUGGUUUAUAACAUUUUGAUAACAGUCGUUUUCUGCCAGAAUUGCCAAAAUAUACUGGUUUGAUAUUUGUACUUCUAAAAAUAUGUUAAAGUAUUUAUUAAUGUUAACAUCAGAAACAGGCAGAGUUUGUGUUGGCACAGAAAAGAGUGUCACUACUCUCAUUCCCCUGUGUUGAGAUUCUCUUAUUAGAAUUAUUUAUAGUAUAAAAUUGUAAAGAAGGGCUCCAUGUAAUGGAACUAAUUUAAUGUUCUAGUAAGAGAAUCUAGUUAUAACCUAGUCUGUACAAAACAAAAAGAAUUUCAGGUGUUCGGGUGCUUUCUAGUCAGGCACUCUGUUUGUAAGGAACUUGAGUUCAUCUUCGUCCCAUACUCUAUACUAAAUUGCUGAUUAAGAUUUUAUACUUUCAUUCAUCAUCAAACCUUUCCCUACCGAGAUUCAUAGACUGUUAUGGCAAGAAUUGGCCUUUAAACAUUAUCUAGGUCUCUUUGGUGGAAACGUUCUAACCACCCAAACUCUUGUCUUUAACCAAAAGAGGAGAACCCUGAAGCAUGCGGGAAGGGGAGAGGACAAGGGAUUAGUAGUGUGGUAGUUAUUGUGAAUGGACAGGUAAGAAAUUGGGUGCACGAGUCCUCUUUGUUUUCAUUACUUGGGAUUCCAAACACUACUUGAUAAUUCAUUAUAAAGAGGCUGCAAUCAGAUACUUGUUUCUGGGUCUGACAAUACACAGUUUCUUCAGCUUAUGUUUAUACAUGAGUUCUAUGACUUUUGUUCAUAGAACUUAUGAGAGAUUUAACUUGUAAGUAAGAGCUCUUUGUAAUAUUUCAGCUCAUUACAUCUGGCUUUGAUAUGAGUUCUUACUAGCUCAUUAUAGUAUUCUAAAAUAUUACUUAAUGGGCAUAAGUGCUAGAAUUUUAAUUGAACAACCUAACUUUUAGUAUAUAUACUAACAGUCACAUGCCAUUCUUGUUUAAUGAACAAGGGAGAGUUGCUCCAUUCAUCAUCUGCUUUUACUUUUAGACAAGUAAUUAUUAGAUUUUACCUAACAUUCCUUUCUCAGCUGGAGUAUAUAGAAAGCAUCAAUAUAAGUCAUUUUGCCCUGAUUUUACCUUACCUUUUUGAUUUCUUUUUUUUUUUUUUUUUU
rnacentral:lncRNA from 1 species